GUGGGGAAUAUUGGACAAUGGGCGAAAGCCUGAUCCAGCCAUGCCGCGUGUGUGAAGAAGGUCUUCGGAUUGUAAAGCACUUUAAGUUGGGAGGAAGGGCAGUAAGUUAAUACCUUGCUGUUUUGACGUUACCGACAGAAUAAGCACCGGCUAACUUCGUGCCAGCAGCCGCGGUAAUACGAAGGGUGCAAGCGUUAAUCGGAAUUACUGGGCGUAAAGCGCGCGUAGGUGGUUUUGUAAGUUGGAGGUGAAAUCCCCGGGCUCAACCUGGGAACUGCCUACAAAACUGCAUGACUAGAGUACGGUAGAGGGUAGUGGAAUUUCCUGUGUAGCGGUGAAAUGCGUAGAUAUAGGAAGGAACACCAGUGGCGAAGGCGACUACCUGGACUGAUACUGACACUGAGGUGCGAAAGCGUGGGGAGCAAACAGGAUUAGAAACCCUAGUAGUCC
rnacentral:rRNA from 1 species